CAGUAUAAUCUGCUGCUGAGAGCUUCAAGUGUUUUCUCCAUGCCACAAUGACCCCCCUGAUCACUGGCAUGAAGGUUAACAAAAACAGAAUUUGCCUCCUCUGGUGACGUCACCACUUUUGCCAAAUGUUUGCCUCGCUUGCGCCUGUGGCAUAUAUAGUGAAGCAGGCCAUCUAAUGUGGAUAACACAAAGGCUCAGGAGGAUAUGGUCCAUGAAGAAGAACAUUUUUUAGCUCCCUCACCUUUACAGGGUCCAUCUAAAGCACUGGUUCAAUCGUGGUCCUGAGGAGCCACAGCUCUGCAUAGUUUCUGUGUCUCCCUCAUCUAACACACCCGAUUCACAUCAUCAUCUCGUUAGUAAAGAUAAGUUACUGAAUUGGGUGUUUCAGAUAAAGGAGACAUAUAAAAUAUGCACAGCUGUGGGUCCCCAGGGCCACAAUUGAGAACCACUGAUCUGUAUUACCCCUUUAUUAAGCAAUGGCCAUAUUUUCCAUUUAUAUGUUAUAGUACACUGUAAAUCUACAUGCCUGUCCUUCAAUCAACUCACUAUCAGCACUGCAUAUGUCCUCUCAUUAAAUCACAACUCUUCACAUUUAUCAAGUAUAUGUUGAUAAUAUGGAGCAUCUGCAGGUGGUAAUUAGCUAUUAUGUGCAUAGUCAAACUGCCAACUUAAUGAUUGUAACAAGAAUGCAUCUCCUUAAUGAUUAGUAUCUUGGCAAGUAUUAGACAGCUGAUUUGAAGACAAGAAACUAGUAAAGGUUUGCAAGGCCUAUUUGAACAAACUAACACUUUUUGUAGGAUUAUAACAUGUCAUUAAAGUGUAGUAAGGCAGUCAGAUUUAAUGACAGCCUGACAGAGGAUUUAAUGAAAUGUUGAAACUCAGGGAUGUGGUUGACAUGAAAGUGUGUAACAUAGGCUUUAGUUAGUUUGCAUUGAAUAUAGAUGGCACUACAAAGAACCGACAUUUACCUUGCAGUAAUAACAAUAGUAAUAAUAAUAGGUUGCGGUACUUUUCACUACAGUAUACUUUAUAUUUUUACAGUAUAUUUUUUUAUGUUUGAGAAUAUUAUAUUUGUAUUGGUCCUCAAUGUCUUUGUCAGUGUCUCACAUCAUGUCUCAUUACAGAUUUACAUGCUGAGAACAUCAUAGUUUUGAAUACAAGCACAACCCAAAUUGCCAAUUCCCACUACAAUCAUUGAAGGUCAUGAUAAUGUUGUUUUCCUUAAUAUGUGUCGGCAGCAUUUUGAUUGUGCAUAUGAAAUAUAUUUGGGGACAUAAAUUACAUAUUUUAGGUAUAACAUUUGGCAGAACUUAACACAGGCACAUUGCCUUGAAAGUGCUAAAUGUCUUCCCAGAUUUAUAGCACCUGUGAGCAAUGAUUUCACUGGGAAUUUGUUAGCCAGUGCUUGUGUUA